GUCUCAAAGAUUAAGCCAUGCAUGUCUAAGUAUAAGCAAUCUAUACGGUGAAACUGCGAAUGGCUCAUUAAAUCAGUUAUCGUUUAUUUGAUAGUACCUUACUACAUGGAUAACCGUGGUAAUUCUAGAGCUAAUACAUGCUAAAAACCCCGACUUCGGAAGGGGUGUAUUUAUUAGAUAAAAAACCAGCGCCCUUCGGGGCUCCUUGGUGAUUCAUGAUAACUCAACGAAUCGCAUGGCCUUGCGCCGGCGAUGGUUCAUUCAAAUUUCUGCCCUAUCAACUUUCGAUGGUAGGAUAGUGGCCUACCAUGGUAUCAACGGGUAACGGGGAAUUAGGGUUCUAUUCCGGAGAGGGAGCCUGAGAAACGGCUACCACAUCCAAGGAAGGCAGCAGGCGCGCAAAUUACCCAAUCCCGACACGGGGAGGUAGUGACAAUAAAUACUGAUACAGGGCUCUUUCGGGUCUUGUAAUUGGAAUGAGUACAAUUUAAAUCCCUUAACGAGGAACAAUUGGAGGGCAAGUCUGGUGCCAGCAGCCGCGGUAAUUCCAGCUCCAAUAGCGUAUAUUAAAGUUGUUGCAGUUAAAAAGCUCGUAGUUGAACCUUGGGCCUGGCUGGCCGGUCCGCCUCACCGCGUGUACUGGUCCGGCCGGGCCUUUCCUUCUGGGGAGCCGCAUGCCCUUCACUGGGCGUGCCGGGGAACCAGGACUUUUACUUUGAAAAAAUUAGAGUGUUCAAAGCAGGCCUUUGCUCGAAUACAUUAGCAUGGAAUAAUAGAAUAGGACGUGU
rnacentral:rRNA from 1 species